rnacentral:tRNA from 1 species
AGAAACUUAGGCUAACUAAGACCAAGAGCCUUCAAAGCCCUAAGUAGAAGUUAAAAUCUUCUAGUUUCUG